CGAGCCGAGCCUGGUACGGAGUUACUACUGUGCAAUCCCCGGUAAGAACUCCAUACCUCGCUCGGCUCGGG
rnacentral:miRNA from 1 species